rnacentral:lncRNA from 1 species
AGUGCUCUAGCUCUGAGUAACAUCCCCAGCCCCCCAUUUUACUUUUAUGCAUAAAGCACAGAUAUACAGCCGUUUCUUGGUAUGCAUGUUGGGGGUGAUUCCAGGAUUCCCCAACCACCCCAAUCUGCAGAUGCUCAUCUUCCUUAUAUAAGAUGGCAUAGUAUUUGCAUAGAGCCUACGCACAUCCCCCGUGGACUUUAGAUCAUCUCUAGAUGACAUAUAACACUUAAUACAAUGUAAAUGCACUGUACACAGUUGUCAUACUAUAUUGUUUAGGGAAUGAUGACAAGGAAAAAAGUCUCUACGGUGUUCAGGACAAACCCUUUCGAUCUGCAGUUGGUUGAAUCUGAGGAGGCAAAACCUGUAGCUCCAGGACUGUACACACAGUGCUUAAACAGGCAUUAACAUUUCAUGGGGAAGGCAAUUAGGAAAAAAUAAAAAGUCCACUCAGACUAUCUCUUAAGCAGACAGUAAUAAAAUAGAGGGUGGCAAAGACUGGACUAGAUCCCAACUCAGCCACUCACUGGCUAUGUGACCUUGAAACAACCUUGAACAGGUCAUUUCUCUCCAACACCCAGUUUUCCUAUCUGCAAAGUGGGGACAAUAAUAGUAGCACUUCCUGGAAGUUUUUUUGUUGUUGUUGUUUAUUUUGGUACUGGGGAUUCAACUCAGGCACAUGACCACUGAGCCACAUCCCCAGCCCUAUUUUGUAUUUUAUUUAGAGACAGAGUCUCACUGAGUUGCUUAGUGCCUUGCUUUUGCCAAGUGUGGCUUUGAACUCGAAAUUCUCCUGUCUCAGCCUCCUUAGCCCUGGGAUUACAGGUGUGUGCCACUGAGCCCUUCCUGGGAGUUUUGUGAGGAUUAAAUGAGAUUUUACCUGGGGAUACUGAAUGCAUAGGAAGCAUUCUAAAGGGUUAGCUGCUGGGUAAAGGAUUACCACUGUCACCACCACCAUCAUCAUUGUCAUAGUCAUUCCCUGUUCUCCAGCUAGUACUCUGGCUUGCUCACUAUAAGCCCUCAAUAAAUGCUUUGUCGAAUAAUUGUAGCAAAUGUUUAGUGCACAUCUAUUUUUUUUUUCAGUACUGGGGAUUGACCCCAUGGGUGCUUUACCACUGAGCCACAUCCUCUGUCCUUUUUAU